UAAUUAGUAUUUCCUGCUCAAUGAGUUUUAAAUAGCCGCAAUUUUGUGCUAAGGUAGCAUAAUCAUUUGCCUUUUAAUUAAAGGCUUGAAUGAAAGGAUCAACGAGUUGAGUCCUCUAUUAUUUUGAUUUCUCUAAAUUUCCAUUUAAGUAAAAAGGCUUAAAUAUACAGAGUAGACGACAAGACCCCAUCGAACUUAAAAUAAGUUUUAACUGGGGUGGUACAAAAACAAAAUCUUUUUAAAUUUUAAAUAAAAUCAACCCUCUAAAAGGACAUUAAACAAGUUACCGUGGGGAUAACAG
rnacentral:rRNA from 1 species